rnacentral:rRNA from 1 species
AGAAUGAACGCUAGCGAUAUGCUUAACACAUGCAAGUUGAACGUUGUUUUCGAAUCAGAAUGAGAACAAAGUAGCGAACGGGUGCGUAACACGUGGGAAUCUGCCGAACAGUUUGGGCCAAAUCCCGAAUGAAUAAAAGCUAAAAAGCGCUGUUUGAUGAGCCCACGUAGUAUUAGGUAGUUGGUUAGGUAAAAGCUGACCAAGCCUACGAUGCUUAGCUGGUCUUUUCGGAUGAUCAGCCACACUGGGACUGAGACACGGCCCAGACUCCUACGGGAGGCAGCAGUGGGGAAUCUUGGACAAUGGGCGAAAGCCUGAUCCGGCAAUAUGGCGUGAGUGAAGAAGGGCAACGCAGCUUGUAAAGCUCUUUCAUCGAGUGUGCGAUUGUGACAAGACUCGAAUAAGAAGCCCUGGCUAACUCCGCGCCAGCAGCCGC